AACACCUCAAAGCCUUUAAUUCAGUUUGGAAGCUUUGGACUUGAGCAAUCCCAACACCAGUCUCGCGACUGGCGGAGGGCUGCUUGAAAUGCAGGUGCAGCUGGACAUUCUCCUGAGCUAUAAGCAUAUUUAUUUAGUCCCGUCAAACGGAUUAUUACUUUUGCUGCAGCUAACAUAAAGGGAGUCUGACCGCAUUAGCUGACUGAUGCAGGAUUUCACAAGGGACUGGCAACAGCCUCUUGUAAA
rnacentral:misc_RNA from 1 species